GAUCAACUCACCUUCCACUCAUUUGAUCCCAAAGGACACUAUCAGCCUUUUUAACUGCAGAAUGAAGGCAAGGCUUCCUAUUGUACACCAGCAUAGUGACUGAGGACUGAAGCGGGCACUGGAACUGUACUGCCGCUCCCGGGAGGCCGCACUUACAUGUUGUUGAAGCGGAAAAGGUCAUCGCACGUGAAAGCCCUGAGCGUCGUCAUCUCGCAGCCACCCAGCACUUACUUCCACGAACCUCCGCAGCCACACCGGAAGUUGUCCGGCGGCCUCACCGCAGCAAGGAGAGAGCCACAGAACGGCUUCCGGACCCGAGUUGCUGGGCAACCACAGCAGUGUUGCAGCACCAUCUGGCGGUAGGAGUCCGGAAUGGCCAGACCACGCCUACAAGGUCACAGUUACACAGAACCUGCGCUGUAAAUAAUGAAGGAGGAUGGGAAAAAGAGAGGCCAGGCGCUAGGAAACCAAAGCAGAAAAACAGGAUUCAGGGUCAUUUGCGUUUCCUGUGCCAUAAGAGCAGUAAAAUGAAGCGGAAUGUAAGAACUCCCAGUUCAGAGCAGUCGGCCCCAAUGAUGAGAUCUCAAACUUUCUAACUCCACAUUAAAUAACGUAAAAAGGAAGGCACAGUUAA